UACGGAGGGUGCAAGCGUUAUCCGGAUUUACUGGGUUUAAAGGGUGCGUAGGUGGGUCUGUAAGUCAGUGGUGAAAUCUCCGGGCUUAACCCGGAAACUGCCGUUGAUACUAUAUAUCUUGAAUGCUGUGGAGGUAAGCAGAAUAUGUCAUGUAGCGGUGAAAUGCUUAGAGAUGACAUAGAAUACCUAUUGCGAAGGCAGCUUACUACGCAGAUAUUGACGCUCAUGCACGAAAGCGUGGGGAUCAAACAGG
rnacentral:rRNA from 1 species